UCCCUAACCAAUAAAAAAAGAAAUCCCGAAAUAUGAUCCUUCAAGAUUCUGGCGUCUAAGUUAAUUAACCCUAAUCUAUGAUGAUCCUUCAAGAUUCUGGCUUAUUCAAGGAGCUACUGAUAAUGGUUGACACUUGCCAAGUUGCAACACUCUUCAAUCAGGUUUGCAAUGACUUCUUAGUCUCCCAGUUCUAUUAAUCAAUAAAGUGGCAUUUGACUUGAAAAAUAGGUUUAUACAAGCUAAGAUUAAAUAGUUGAAUCAUGUUUGGUACGUAAGUUUGCCUAUUCUGGACUAUGUAUUCUGCUAAUGUUAUAGGCUACCUUGAUCCAUACUAGGGAAACCUAGAUAAAUGAAAUGUAUUUCUAAUGUUUACUAAUUUUCAACAAUUAAAAUCCUACAAACCAAAUAUAGGUUGCAAAGCUUCUCAAACUCAGAGUUCUCUAUAAUGGAAAUGUAAGCUACACAAAUCUAAGUUUCCAACUUUAGGUUAAUGUAUUUAAAGGCUCAAAUCUUUAGGUUAAUGUUUUAGCAUUGAGAUCUGUGCCUCCUUUAGACCAUAAGAAACUUACACCUCCCUAGAAAUGCAGUAGGUGGCUAUUUGUUACUUUAAGUUUCAAAAUUGUCCAUUUUAUUAUGCUAAUUUGUUGAAAUAUAUUAAUUUAAUAAAAAAAAAUUUAGAUUGGACCUUUCAAUUUUUGGCAUCUUCUUCUUCCUUCCCUCUUCUAGUGAGGCUUAUCAUCAGCUGCUGGCCACCAUCUCCUUUGUUCCCUGCCAUCAUUUCCACUCCGCCAACCUCUGACAAUGAGCUUCCCUGGCCUUUUCAACGAAAGGGAAUGAAGGAGGGGCUCUCCUUUACUCCUUUCUUCUAGAUCUAGAAGGAAGGAGGGAGUGGAGAUGACGGUGACAUUGGGUUGCGAUGGAUAUGGCAGUUGGCGGUUGGAGGUAGAUGGUGAGUUUCAUUAGAAGAAUGGAGGAGGGAGGUGGUGCCGGAAUGGAAGAGAGAAGUCCAGUCAUUAAGAAGUUGUUAAAUUAAUAUACUUUACCAAAUUAGUAAAAGUACAAUAGUUUGAGUUUGUCAAUUAGUCAAACUAAUGGGACAAAGUUUUACAAUUUGUAUAACUUAAUCUUAAAAUAGGAAAAGUCUUGAACCGCCUUCAGCCUUUUAAAACGUUGAUUUAGUUAGGUUACACAAACUCAAAGUUUUCAAAUUCAUAAACUAGACUUCUUUUUAAUUUUUUUUUUGUUUUAAUUUUUAAUUUUUAAUUUUUUUGAAGAGUGGUUAAGGACCCUUAUAUUGUUUGAGUUUCUCGGCCAAGAUUGCUGUUUGAUUUGAUAGUAAUUCAUGGCCAACCCCCAUGAGUUUCUCAUAAUAUUUGACUGGUAUUGAGACAUGUAGAGAAGCCAAAAUAGGAACAUUUUAUAGUAAAUUGCUAGUUUUACUUCCAA